GCUAGAGGGGGGGAACAGGGGGAAGGGGGAAGAGAAGCUGAGUCUGGAAAAGUGAAAUCACUUCCUUAAGAGGGGUACCCACUAUGAUGUCUCUCUCCCACCUCAAUUUGAAACCCUGCCCUGACACUUAUUGGCUGUGUGGUCUUGGGUAAGUCUCCCGACCCUUCCGUACCUUAGUAAACCAGGCCUUAAAUCAACCCUACUUACUAACCCUUGAGAUAACGUGUAUAAACGAGGUAAGUUUUGUAAAGCACCCAGCUAGGGUGAGGGAAGGGAGGGAGGAAGCACUGUUACGAGGAGGAAACGCCUGCAGGAGUCCUUAAGCACAGCUGCCACCAGCUACCAGCCCCAGACUCCACCCCCAUGAAUAAUGAACUGAUAUUGAUCCCCUGGUUGGGAAAUUCCCUGUGACCUGUGAUAAAAAUACACCCAGUCUGCAAGCCUCCAACUUGACUGGUUUGCACCAGCCAGAGCUGAGCUCAUCUGCACACCCCUGCCCAGCCCGCAGCCCCCAGAGGGAGAGCUCAGUUGGACAGGGCAUCAGAGACCAAGCGCCAGCUGGUGCCCACCGUCUCCUCCACUCCAUGGCCAGGGACAAAGGGAUCAAAGGAACAGGCUCGUCCAUGGCAGGAGCCCCCUGUAGCCAGGCCCCUGGAAGAGGAGAUAGAACACAGACCUGGAUUUCAAUCCAGCCUCCACCACUUCCUGCAAGUGCCUCAGUUUUGCCGGCUGUAAACUGGAGAUGGUAAUUCCUUCCUCACAGAAUUAGUCCUAGAUUCAAACAAGUUGAGGUAUGCAAAGUACCCAGUGCAGUGCCUGCCAAGAAGAGAUGCUCAAUAAACAGCAGCUCAGGCCUUGCCAUUCUCCCUCCUGUUGCCUUAUCCUUGCUGUGAAACUCAGGACUGUUUCACAGAAGAAUGAAACUGAGUGACUAGUUUUUUUCUAAUGAGACUCUUAUUGAGAUAUAAUUCACAAACCAUAAAAUUCACCAAUUUAGACUGCACAAUUCAGUGGUUUUUAGGAAAUUCACAGAGUCGUGUGACUAUCACCAUUAUCUAAUUUUAGAGCAUUUUCAUCAACCCCAAAAGAAAUCCUGUACCCAAUUCCCAUCUUCCCCACCCCAUGCCUCUGACAACCACUAAUUUACUCCCUAUCUCUAUGGAUUUACCUCUUCUGGAAAUUUCAUACAAAUGAAAUCAUAGACUACGUGGCAUUUGUGUCUGGUCUCUUCCACUUAGCAUAAUGUUUUCAAACUUCAUCCAUGCUGUAGCAUGAAACUGUACUUUGUUCCUUUUCACAGCUGAGUAAUGUUCCAUCAUAUGGAUAAACCACAUUUUGUUUAUCCAUUCAUCAGUUGAUGACAUUUGGGUUUUUUCCACUUUUUGGCUAUUAUGAAUAAUGUUGUUAUGAAGCUUCAUGUACAAGUUUCUGUGUGGACAUGUGUUUUCAUUUUUCUUGGGUAUAUAUAUAUAUAUAUAUAUAUACACACACACACACACACACACACACAUAUAUAUAUAUAUGAGUGAUGUUGUUGGAUCAUAUAGUAAUUCUAUGUUUAAUUUUUUGAGGAACUUCCAAAUAGUUUUCUAAAGCAGUUGCCCCAUUUUAUAUGUCUACUAGCAGUGUAUGAUGGUUCCAAUUUCUCCACAUCCUUGCCAACCCUUGUUGUUAAUUGUCUUUUUGGUUAUAGCAAUUGCAGUGUGUAUGAACUGGUAUCUCAUUGUGGUUUGAUUUCUCUGAUGUCUAAUGAUGCUGAGCAUCUUUUCGUGUGUUCUUGGCCAGUGGUAUAUCUUCCCUGAGAAAUGAUCUAUUCAGAUCAUUUCCCAAGUUUUUAAUUGGAUUGUUUGUCUUUUUAUUUUUGAGUUAUAAGAGUUCUUUAUUCCAAGUAUAAAUCCUUUAUCAGAUAUAUGGUUGGCAAAUAUUUUCUCCCAUCUGGUGAUGUGUAUUUGUCUUUUUUGUUUUCUUGAUGGUGUCCUUUGAAGCACAAAAGUUUUUAAUUUUGAUAAGGUCCAACUUGUCUAUUCUUUCUUUUUCACCUGUAUUUUUGGUCUCAUGUCUAAGAAACCAUAAGAACCUAAUCCAAAGUCACUGUUUUCUUCUAAGAGUUUUAUACUUUUAGCUCUUACAUCUAAUACGUUUUGAAUUAAUUUUUUAAUAUGGUAUGAGGUAAGGGUCCAACUUUAUUAUUUUGCCAGUUUUCCCACUACUAUUUGUUGAAAAGACUAUUCUUGUCCCCACUGAACUGUCUUGGCACUCUUGUUGAAAAUCAAUUGAUUGUACACGCAAGAGUUUAUUUCUGGACUCACAAUUCUAUUCCAUUUGUCUCAAUGUCUAUCCUUCUGUCAGUAUCACACUGUCUUGAUUACUGUAGCUUUGUAGUGAGUUUCGAAAUCGAGGAAGAGUGUUCCAAUUUUGUUCUUCCCUUUCAAGUUUGUUUUGACUAUUCUGGAUUCGUUGUAAUUUCACAUGAAUUUUAGGAUCUGCUUAUCCAUUUCUAAAAACAAAAGCUGGUUAUUUUAUAAGGAUUGCACUGAAUCUAUAGAUCAAUUUGGAGCUCAAUGCCAUCUUAAUAUUAAGCCUUCCAAUACAUGAACAUGUCAUGUCUUUCCAUUUAUCUAGGUCUUCUUCCAUUUAUUUGAGCAACCUUUUAUAGUUUUCAAUGUAUAGGACUUGUACUUCACUCAUUAAAUAUAUUCCUAGUUGUUUUUUGUUCUUUUUGAUGCUACUGUAAAUGGAACUAUUUUCUUAAUUUCUUUUUCAGAUAGUGCAUUGCUAGUGUGUAGAAAUACAAUUAAUUUUUAUAUAUUGAUUUUGUAUCUUGCAACCUUGCUGAACUUGGUUAUUAGUUCUAAUAGUGUUGUGUGUGUGUGUGUGUGUGUGUGUGUGUAUUCCUUGGGAUUUUCUCUAUAAAAGUCAUACCAUCUGUGAAUAGAGAUAAUUUUACCUCUUUCCAGUCUGGAUGCCUUUAUGAACAUUUAUUUCUUGCCUAAUUGCCCUGGUUAGAACCUCCAAUACAAUGUUUAACAGAAGUGGUAAAAACAGAUAUCCUUGUCUUGUUUCUGAUCUUAGGGCAAAGCAUCUAGUCUUUUACCAUGAAGUAUGAUGUUGGCUGUGGGUUUUUGGUAGAUGUCCUUGAUCAGAUUGAGGAAGUCUCCUUCUAUUCCUAGUUUGUUUAGUGUUUUAUCAUGAAAGCUUGUUGGAUUUUGUCGAAAAGCUAUUUCUGUGUCCAAUGAGAUGAUUGCAUUUCAUUUGUCCUUUAUUCUAUUAACAUAGUGUACAUUGACUCAUUUUUGGAUGUUAAGGCAAUCUUGAAUUCCUGGGAUAAAUCCCACUUUGUCUUGGUGUAUAAAUCUUUUUAUAAGUUGUUGGAUUUUGUUGCUAGUAUUUUGUUGAGUAUUUUGGAGUCUAUAUGCAUUGGACUGUAGUUUUCUUGUGAUGGUUUUGGUUUUGGAAUCAAGGUAAUACUGACGUCAUAGAAUGAGUUGGGAAGUGUUCCCUAUUAAUCUUUUUUGGGGAAGAGAUUGUGAAGAAUUAGUAUUAUGUUUUCUUUAUGUUUGAUAGAAUUCACUAGCAAAGUCAUCUGAGUCUGAGCUUUUUCUCUAUGGGAUUUUAAAAAAUUACUAGUUCAGUCUCUUGUUAUAGUCUAUUCAAAAAAUUUUAAUUUCUCUCACAUAAGUUUCAGCAGUUUCCCUCUAGAAAUGUGUCCCUUUCAUCUAGUUUAUUUAAUUUUUUGGCAUGCGGUUUUUCAUAAUAUUCCUUCAUAUAGUCCUUCUUAUUUUUGUAAGGAUGGUAGUCAUGUCCUGCUUUCAUUUCUCAUUUUAGUAAAUUGAGUCUUCUCUCUCUUUUUCUUCCUCAGCCUAGUUAAUAGUUUGUCGAUUCUGUUGAUAUUUUCAAAAAAACAACUUUAAAUUUUGUUGAUUCUCUCUAUUGUUUUUCUAUUCUUUAUUUGAUUCAUUUCUGCUCUAAACUUUAUUAUUUCCCACCUUCUCCUGCUUGAGGUAUAGUUAGCUCUUCUUUGUCUAGUUUUUUAAGGUGAAAGAUUAGGUUAUUAUUGUAUUUGAAUUCUUUUCUAAUAUGGGCACUUACAACUAUAAAUAUUCCUCUAAGUAUUGCUUUAGGUGCAUCCCAUACAUUUUGGUAUGUUGUGUUUCUGUUUUCAUUCAUUUCAAAGCAUUUUCUUAUUUCUCUUGUAGUCUUUCUUUGACCCAUUGAUUAUGUAGGAGUGUGUUAAUUUCUACACAUUUGUGAAUUUCCCAAAUUUCCUCGUUUUAUUGAUUUUUAAUUUAUUUUCAUUUUGAGUGGAGAACAUACUUUGUAUUAUUUCAAUUAUUUUAAACUUAUUGAGGCUUGUUUUAUAAUCUAAUAUAUGAUCUACCAUGGAGAAUGUUCCAUGUGCACUUGAGAAGAGUAUGCAUAUAGCUGUUGUUGAGUGGAGUGUUCUAUAACUGUCUAUUAGGCUGGUUAAUAGUGUUGUUCAAGUCAUGUACAUUUUUAUUGAUCUGCCUAGUUGUUCUAUCUAAUAUUGAAAGUGGGGUAUUGAAGUCUUCAAAAAUUAUUGUUGAAUUGUUUAUUUCUUCCCUCAAUUCUGUUGGUGUUUGCUUCAUGUAAUUUGGAGCUGUUUUAUUAGGUGCAUAUACAUUUAUAUUUUUUAUACCUUCCUGAUGAAUUGACCCUUUUAUCAUUAUAAAACAUAAUUUUUUUAGUAACAACUUGUCUUAAAGUGUAUUUUGUUGAUAUUAGUAUAGCUACUUCAGCUAUCUUUUGGUUGCUGUUUGCAUGAUAUGUCUUUUUCCAUCCUUUUAUUUUCAACAAAUUUGUGACUUUAAAUCUAAUAUAUGCCUCUUUUAGACAAUAUAUAGUUGAUCAUGGAUUUGCAAAAUCCGUUUUGCCAAUCUCUAUCUUUUGAUUGAGGCAUUUAAUUCAUUUACAUUUAAUGCAAUUACUGAUAUGAUUGGAAUCAUACCUGCCAUUUGCUAUUAGUUCUCUAUACGUUUUGUGUCUUUUUUGUUCCUCUAUUCCUCCAUUACUGCCUUCUUUUGUGUUAGUUAGAUAUUUUAGUGUACGAUUUUUAUUCUCUUGUCAUGUAUUUUACCAUGUAUUUUUGAGAUUUUUUUUUUUUUUAGUAGUUGUCCUGGAGAUUACAAUUAAGAUCUUAAUUUAAAGCAUUCUAGUCUGGAUUAAUGCUAACUUAAUAUCAAUAGUAUACAAACUUUGCUCCCACAUAGUCAUUCCCUCCUCCCUCCUUUGUGCUGUUAUUGUAAUAUAAAUUUCAAUUUUAUACAUUAUAAGCCCAUUAACACAAUUUUAUUGUUAUCUUAUGCCAUUGUCUUUUUAAAAUAUUUUACAUAAUUUAUUUUUCUGUUCACACUUAUAACUCCAUUCCACAUCCCCAUCCCUCAGGAGUAUAUUCUAAUUUAAUGUAUUUUUAUGUUUGUAUGUGUGUGGGGUUUUUGUUGUACCAUUGUCUUUUAAGUCAGAAGAAAAGCAUUACAAAUGAAAAUGCAAUCGUAUUGUCAUUUAUAUACCUAUGUAGUUACCUUUAAUAGUACUCUUGAUUUCUUUCUGUGGAUUCAAGUUACCAUGUAGAGUCCUUUCAUUUCAGCCUGAAGAACUCCCUUUAAUAUUUCUUGUAGGGAAGGUCUGGUGCUGAAAUAUCAGUAGGUAGGUCUAGUAAUGGAAUAUCAGUUUGUUUGUUUUUUAAAACUUGGAAUGCCUUAAUUUCUCCUUAAUUUUCAAGGAUAGUUUUGCUGGACAGAGAAUUCUUGCUUGGCAAUCUUUUUCUUUCAGCAGUUUGAUUAGUCAUUCCACUGUCUUUCAGCCUCUGUGGUUUCUGAUGAGAAGUUAGCUUCUCAUAAUCUCAUCAGUCUUAUUACUGAUCACUUGUAUGUGAUUUUUCUCUUACUGCUUUCAAGUUUCUCUCUUUGUCUUUGACUUUUAUCAAUUGACUAUGACAUGUCUAGGUGUGGAUCUCAUUGCAUUUAUCCUAUCUGAAGUUCAUUGAGCUUCUUGAAUACGUAGAUGGGUGUUGUAUUUUUUUAACCAAAUUUGGGACUUUGGAUUAUUAUUUCUCUUCUGCUUUCUUUCUCUCUUCUCCUUCAGGGACUACCAUUAUGCAUGUGUUGAUACACUUGAUGAUGUCACAUGUGUCUUUGAGGCUCUGUUCAUUUUGCUUCAUUUUAAAAAAAAUUUUUUUAGUCUUCAGACUGGAAAAUCUCAGUUUAAGUUCAAGUUUGCUGAUUCUUUCCUCUGUCAGCUCAAAUCAGCUGUUGACCCCCUCUAGUGAAUUUUUCAUUUCAGUUACUGUACUUUUCAAGUUGAGAAUUUCUAUUUGGCUCUUGUGUGUGUGUGUGUGUGCACGCGUGUGUAUGUGUUAAAAUAUACAUAACAUAAAAAUCACAAUUUUACCCAUCUUUUUUGGUAGCAAGUAUAAAUUUAUUAUACAUAUCUUUAUUAAAAUUUGGUUUUAUUGUGGUAAAAUAUACAUAACAUAAAACUUACCAUUAUAACCAUUUUAAGUGUACAUAUUAUUGGCAUUAAGUACAUUCACAUUGUUGUGCAGCCAUCACUACCAUUUAUCUCCAGAAAACAAUAACUCUCCAUUCCUCCCUCUCUUCAGAUCCUGGUAACCACCAUUCUACUUUCUGUCUCUAUGAAUUUGAUUACUCUAGGUAUCUCACAUAAGUUGAAUCAUACAACAUUUAUCUUUUUCUGUCUGGCUUAUUUCAUUUAGCAUAAUGUCUUCAGGGUUUAUCCAUGCUACAGUAUUUGUCAGAAUUUCCUUCCUUUCUAAGGCUGAAUAAUAUUCCAUUGUACAUACAUUUUGUUCAUCCCUUCAUCCAUUGAUGGACAUUUGGGUUGUUUCCAGCAUUUGACUAUUGUGAAUAAUACUGCUAUGAACAUAGGUGUACGAGUAUCUGUUCAAGUCCCAGCUUUCAAUUAUUUUUGGUAUAUACCCAUAAGUGGAAUUGCUGGAUCAUAUAGUAAUUCUAUUUUUUUUUCUCUUACUGCUUUCCACAGCAGCUGCACCAUUUUACAUUCCCACCAGCAGUGCACAAGAGUUCUGAUUUCUCCUCAUCUUGGCCAAUGCUUAUUAUUUUCUGUUUUGUGAUUUUUUGGUUUUGGUUUUAAAAAAAAAAUAACCAUCCUAAUGGUUGUAAUGUCUGAAGUAAUGUCUCUUUGUGGUUUUGAUUUGCAUUUCCCUAAUGAUUAAUGAUAUUGAACAUCUUUUCAUGUGCUUAUUGACCAUUUAUAUAUCUUCUUUGCAGAAAUGUCAAUUCCUUUGUCCAUUUUUGAAUUGGGUUGUUUGUUUUUUUGUUGUUGUUGUUGGGUUUUAGGAGUUCUUUAUAUACUCUGGAUAUUAAUCUCUUAUCAGCUAUGUGAUUUGCAAAUAUUUUUCCUAUUCUAUAGGUUGUCUUUUCAUUCUGUUGAUAGUAUCCUUUGAUGUACAAAAGUCUUUAAUUUUGAAGUCCAAUUUGUCUAUUUUUCCUUUGUUGCCUGUGCUUUGAUGUCAAUCCAAUGCCAUUAAGAUUUCCUCCCAUGUUUUCUUCUAAGAGUUUUAGAGUUUUAGCUCUUAUGUUUUGGUCUUUGAUCAAUUUUGAGUUAAUUUUUUAUAUGGUGUUAGGUAAGGGUCCAAUUUCAUUCUUUCACACAUGGAUAUCCAGUUUUCCUGGCACCAUUUCUUGAAAAGACUGUCUUUUCCCUACUGAAUGGUUUUAGCAUCUUUGUCAAAAAUCAUUUGGCCAUAUACACUAGGGUUUAUUUCUGGGCUCUCUAUUCUAUUCCAUUAGUCUAUAUGUCUGUCCUUAUGCCAGUAUUCCACUGUUUUGGUUACUAUAGCUUUGUAGUAAGGUAUGAAAUCAGGAAGUGUAAGUACUCUGAAUUUGUUCUUCUUUUUCAAGAGUAUUUUGGCUAUUUGAGCUCCCUGAACUUGCAAUGAACUUUAAGAUGCUUUUCCUAUUUCUGAAAAAAACAAAACAAAACAAACAAACAGAAAAACACUGUUGGGAUUUUGACAGAGAUUGCAUUGAAUCUGUAGAUCUCUUAGGGUAAAUAUUGUCAUCUUAAGAAUAUUAAGUCUUUCAAUCCACGAACAUGGGAUAUUUUUCACUUUACAUGUCUUCUUUCAUUUAUUUCAGCAACAUUUGUAGUUUUCAGUGUAUGAGAAUUUUGCCUCCUUGCUUAAGUUUAUUCCCAAGUAUUUUAUCCUUUUUGAUGCUAUUGUUAAUGGAAUUGUUCCCUAAAUUUCCUUUUUGGAUUGUUCAUUGUUAAUGUAUAGACACACAAUUGAUUUUUUGUUGUUGUUGAUUUUGUAUCCUGCAAUUUCGCUGAAUUUAUUUAUUAGUUCUAACAACUUUUUGUGGAAUCUUUAGGGUUUUCUACAUAUAAGAUCAUGUCAUCUGCAAACAGAAAUAAUUUGACUUCUUCCUUUUCAAUUUGGAUGCCCUUUAAUUCUUUAGGCAUGAUUUCCUCCAGUUUUUAAGAAACAUACUCCUAUAUUAACCUUAUAUUCUGCAACCUUGUUAUAAUUGCUUAUUAGUUCCAGGAGUCUUUGUUGAUUCUUUAGGAUUUUCUAUGUGGACAAUUAUAUCACCUGUGAACAAAGACUUUUUAUUUCUUCCUUGCCAAUAUGUAUACUUUUUUUGGUCUUAUAGCAUUAGCUAAGUCUUCCAGUACAAUGUUGAAUGGGAGUGGUGAGAGCAGACAUCCUUGCCUGUUCCUGAUAUUAGGGGGAAAGCAUCUAGUUUCUCAUCAUAAAUUAUGAUGUUAGCUGUACGUUUUUUGUAGAUGUUCUUUAUCAAGAGAGUUUUUAUCAUUAAUUGAUCAAGUGCUUUUUCUGCAUCUGUUGAUAUGAUCAUAUAAUUUUUCUUCUUUAGCCUGUUGGUGUGAUAGAUUACAUUAACUGAUUUUUUAAAAAAAUAUUUAUUUAUUUGGCUGUGUCAGGUCUUAGUUGUGACACGAGAUCUUAGUUGUGGCAUGUGGGAUCUUUCGUUGUGGCAUGUGGGCUCUCUAGUUGUGGCACGCAGGCUCUAGAGCACACAUGCUUAGUUGCCCUGCGGCAUGUGGGAUCUUAGUUCCCCGACCAGGGAUUGAACCUGUGUCCCCUCCAUUGGAAGGCAGAUUCUUAACCACUGGACCCCCAGGGAAGUCUUUACAUUAACUGAUUUUUGAGGAGCAUAUUUUGUAAUAGCUGAUUUAAAGUCUUUGCCUGGUAAGUCCAACAUCUUCUUCAGGGACAGUUUCUUUUGGCUACUUUUCCUGUGUAUGGGCAAUACAUUUUUACUUUGUAUGUAUCAUAAUUUUUUGUAGAAAACUUGACAUUUCAAUACUAUAAUGUGGCAACUCUGGAAAUCAGUUUCUCCCCUCUCCUCAGGGUUUGGUUUCGUUACUGCUUGUUUUAGUUGUUGUUGUUUGCCUAUUUAGUGACUUUUCCUAACUAAUUCUGUAAAGUACAUUUUCUGUCAUAUGUGGCUCCUGAAGUGAAUGCUUGGUUAGCUUAGUGGUCACUAAUGACUGAACAGAAAUUUCCUUAAAUACUUUGAAUGAGUGAUCAUCAACCCUUUGAUGAGAGGCUGUGUGUGUGUGUUUGUGCGUGUGUGCAUGUGCGUGUGUGUGUCGGGUUACUCCUUCAAUGCUCUAGCAGUUUGCAAUCCUGCCUUUGCCAUCACUUUCUACCUCCACCAAGCCCCAAUGUCAGCCAGACGUGAAAAAGUAGGGCCUUUUCAGGUGUAUUUGGUGCAUGCACACAGCCCUGCAAAUGCAAGUGGCCUCCUAGAUCUUCAGGAAUAUGACAUGUCAGGGCAUUUCAAAACCCCCUAUUAACUUCUCAUUCCCCAGAUCUUCCUUUUAAGUUUUUUGACCAGAUAGUCUCUUCUUUCCCCCAAUUGGUACUGCUGCUGUGGUAUUAAACAGUUGUUACUGGUUGUUUUCAAUAAAUGCUCUAGGGGUAGGAUCUUUCCCACUGAGUGGACUCUGAGCUAGGUCAAAUAAAAACUCUGUGAAUGAUACUUUUCCAAGGAGCUGCUAGACAGGUCAAGUAGUGACAAUUCUCUAGGAAUUGGGCUUUUUGAGGAUCUUCAAACCUGGUAUGCUCCCUCUGGGUGUUGCUAGACUACUAGUUUUCCAGGCUACUAUGGAGCUUGGGAGAAAGAGAUGAGAAUAGGACAAGUCCAAACCUCACAAAUCUCACUGUUCUUACCAAGAAUCAGCAGUUUUGUUUUUUUUUUCAAAUAAUGCUCCUCAUAUCAUUGCAAACUUUUGGUUACUUUCCAAGGUUCUGGAAAAGUUGAUUUUAACCAUUUGUUCUGGAGUUCUUACUGCUUUUAAGGAGUAGCAGAUUUUUGGAGGCCCUUACCCCACCAUUCCUGAUGUCCUGCUCUGAAUGACUCUGGAUAGACAGACGUCUGUGAAUGAAGCAACAGCAUGCGCAAAAGAUGGAGAUAUGAAAGUUCAUGACUUAUUUAAGACUAGCAAGUGACCCUGAGUGACUGGACCAUAUGGAAGAUAGGAAGCUGGAACUCAGAGAAGACAAGUGACUCGCCUAAGGUCACAUAGCCAGUAAGCAGCAGAGCAAGGAUUCAGAUCCAGGACUGUUGGCCACUAGAGUCUGGAGUCUUUCUUUUAUGUUGUCUCCAACCAUCUCUCAGGAGACUCCAAUUCUAGACUGGGUCCCAGUCAGGGGCUCAGAGCUGAAAGCCCCUUUUUCAGACCCUUAUGUACAUACCCUGCGGGAGCAGCAGGUCUGGACCAGGCCAUGGUAGGCAUGGAACUCCAGCAGGAAUGUCAGCGGACUCCUGUACUGCCUGACCCAGGGCAUCCUUUCUCUCUGUCCCAGGCCUGUAGAGCUGGGCUUAUUUUCAGGGCUGGAUGAGUGGAUUUUUCCCAAUGGAGUGUGGAUAGUCCACAGUUGGGCCAAAUGGAGGCCCCUCCCUCCCAUAGGAGAAAAGGGGAAAGGGGGAAGGGGAGCAGAGCAGCCUUCCAGAAAGGAUAGCUUUGCUGAGUUUCAGCCUAAUAUCCUGGAGCUAUUCCUAGGUAGAUUGUGGUCAGUGGAAUUAUGCUUUUAUCAGGCUGCUGGGAGUUUCAAUAAAAUCUUUAUGGCCUGGAAA